CACAUACGCGUUUUUAUGUGUCGAGGAGUUCCAGCAUCGCAAAACAGGCGCUUCUGUCGAGCCCGCCACAGGUUGUAUCCAGCGAGAAAUCCUCGUCCGUAGCAAUUUUUUGUUCCUUUUCUUGUUUAUCGUCCUUCAAAUUGUCGAGUUCAACGGUGUGCAAGGAAUUUGAAAGGUCCAUCUCUACAAGAAUAACUCCGAAAGCGCUCGGGAAAUGCAGACAACGCUACCAAAGUUGUGCGUGCAGCAGCGCUAGCCCGCACACUGCGGUGUACAGACACCGCAAGACCGAGCAACAAAUUACGCUUUGUGGGAUUGAAUGCUGAAAUUAGGCGGCCGACAUUAUGAAUGAUGUGCAUAGAACGGUAUUUUGAGAAGGGGAACAAGAAGACGUUUCUAAAAACCGAUUCGUUUUGGAAGCAGACCGCUGGUUCCGGUUUUUUUUGUUCCCGUGAAAAGCAGGUCGCCUGUCCUGGCCCUCAAAUCAAGACAGACGUGAGAGGAAGCCAUCUCUAACAGCAGGAUCGCCUCCUAGGCCCGUCUACGCUGUCUCCCAAUUGGCAUUUUGCCAGGCAACAGAGGGUAGCAACCAGCAGAACAGUGUUGCAGAAGGUGCAGGUGCUCCAAGACAGUAUACCCACAAGCACUUUCGCCGGAUGAACUAGUCUGCUGCGUCGGAGCCACGGCAAGAACGGUUCCUGAUCAAAGCUACAUGGCAAUUUGUCCGUAACAUGACUCAGCAAUAUCUGAAUUUCGACAUCCUGGGAUGUAUUUCCACAGACGCAUGGGUGUGCACGUGGAUACUUGACCGUUUUGCCGCUGCGGCAGCGGCGAAACGCCACAGGCGAACAUAAAAAUGUCCUCGAGGGAGGUUCCUCCGUAGAAAGGCGACGCUCCAAAGCAGUUCUGUUUGUUUUGGUGUCGUCGAGCUUGCUUUCCUCGGGGGAGAUCAUACAGAUUUGUUCCCCUCGUGCAACAUUUCUUCGAAGAAAAGCAGGUCACGGUGAAAGACUUUGUGGCAUGGAUUUCCAUAGUUUUCUGUGUGGCAUUCCCCCCAUCUUCUCAAGUGAUACGAUGUAGCUACAGGCAAUGGAGAAUUCUAUGCCAGCAAUUGUUUGAGGCUCUCGGAUAUGCACUUCCUUGUGUGUGUCCCCAAGCGACUGCUGCCCGUGAGUAGCCGUCCGCAUGUGGGUAUGCUGUUGCUACCAGUACGUUGUUUCUAUCUGUCCAAAUAGCGAUCUUUGUGUUUGUGUGAAUUCGGACACUCGAGGGCCCUCGAAACAAAAGGGACGUCAAAUGCUGAGGAGCCCACUGCAAGAUGACCUGAACCUGUGGUAAAACGCUGGAGAAACGCAGUCAUCGCUGUACACGAGUCAAGAACACGCAAAGACCACAGCCAACCUAUAUUACUGGACCGUGCGUGUUCCAUUGUUUGCAUCGUUAUGUUCUAAAUGUAUUGUGCAUCUGUUCAAAUCUGUAUAGUCUGCCGCAAGUUCAAUGUUCGUGAUACGCCUGCGCGGCAGACUGAAAAUUUCAACAUGCUCGUAACGCAUGUGCGCGUCUGGUCCACUGCUUCUGAUGUCUUUGUUUGCCG
rnacentral:lncRNA from 1 species